GAAACAAUACUGUUUCGUUACUAUGCUUAUGUGUAGCUAUGUCUUUUCUGCUGUUCUUGAUUGUUCCUUUUAUACACAAGGAAUUGAUUGAAUUGUAUACAAGAAAACUACCUGCUUUGCUUUGUCUGCUUUCUUGAUUGUUCCUUUUAUACACAAGGAAUUGAUUGAAUUGUAUACAAGAAAACUACCUGCUUUGCUUGAUGCUGCUGCUGGGGAAUGAUUGUGGUUGAGUUGUGGUUGAGUUAUAUUUGGGAUUGCUGGUGUAUUUAAGAUUUGCAGAAAUGAGUAAAGAAUUUGCUGAAAAUGAGUUAAAAAAAAUGGUCAGACAUGAGAGAAAAGAGAUUUUAUACUGGUUUGGAGUCGGUUAUUGAGUAGCUGCGUCAAAGUCGAAGGCUACGUGCCAGAUGAGGAACUAAUCUGGAGUUAAUAAAUCUCACUAUCUAAUUUGGAGUUAAUAAUCAAUCAAUUAAUCAUAUACCUAAAUUGGGCUCGGUUACUCCAGCCCAAAUAUAACUAUUGGGCUUCCUACUUUUACACCACUCUUGGCCCAUUUAAACAAUUAUUGGGUUGUUUUCUAGUUGAAUAGAAAAAGUAUUUCGGUUCGUAAUAUAAAUUAAAACUUUUAGCUCAUCUCUAUAAUGUCUAAUCUAAUUUAUUAAGGUUUAAUAUCUACUUAAUCAAUUAAUCCUGUAUGAAACAGAUUUGCUGAGAUUCUCAACUCAAUUAGUAUAUUAAAAUCUAAUGUCUCAACUAAUUAGCCAUAUACUAACAGAUAAUGACAUGAUUAGGGUGGGGCUAUUACAAGUGGAUGUUGGAUAAAUGCUAAAAUAAAAUGCCAAAGUUGUUUGCCUCAAAAAAAAAAAAAAAAAAAUGCCAAAGUUGUAAUAGUAUUAUACCACCGAUAUCUUGUGCAUAAACCAAAAUACUUAAAUAAUAUCAAACCACACAUAAGCAUAAAGAAACCAAAUACAAAUAGCAAUGCCAACACUAUUGUCUUCUCAGUUGAUUCCUGAUAACUCUUCUUGCAUGUCUUCUUCUUNUCUUUCAUC
rnacentral:lncRNA from 1 species